rnacentral:lncRNA from 1 species
AACAACUCAAAGGAUACUACCGUUCUCCUUCAUCCUCGCAAACCCUAGUGCCUCCAUUUUUCGUUUUUCGUUCAAACUUUCUCCUUCAUCCUCACAAACCCUAGUGCCUCCAUUUUUCGUUCUCACCGUUCUCCUUCAUCCUCGCAAACCGUAGUGCCUCCAUUUUUCGUUCUCACCGUUCUCCUUCAUCCUCCAUUCACUUUCUCCUUCAUCUCGAUCAUCUUUAAGGCCUCAAUAAACACCAUCUCCCGUUCCAUUAGCAUCUCCAUCUUCGCAACCUUCAAUGUCCCCAGUAAACGCCAGUUACGUGGUAGUGAUAACACCAAAAUAUCAAUAGUAGCACGAACCUUAAUCACCUUCCACCGUUUUGCAUUUUGCCUCUCUGUUUUUUUCCCAAAUCGCAUGAACCCUAAUCAGCUGCCAUGGUUUCUCAUUUCUUAAUUUAUUUUCUUUUUCAAAUUGC